UACGAAGGGGGCAAGCGUUGUUCGGAAUUACUGGGCGUAAAGGGCGCGUAGGCGGCUUAUCAAGUCAGGCGUGAAAUUCCCGGGCUCAACCUGGGGGCUGCGCUUGAUACUGAUUGGCUUGAAUGCGGGAGAGGAUAGUGGAAUUCCCAGUGUAGAGGUGAAAUUCGUAGAUAUUGGGAAGAACACCGGUGGCGAAGGCGGCUAUCUGGCCCGUAAUUGACGCUGAGGAGCGAAAGCGUGGGGAGCGAACAGG
rnacentral:rRNA from 1 species